GUCCAGACUCCUACGGGAGGCAGCAGUGGGGAAUAUUGCACAAUGGGGGAAACCCUGAUGCAGCGACGCCGCGUGAAGGAAGAAGUAUUUCGGUAUGUAAACUUCUAUCAGCAGGGAAGAAAAUGACGGUACCUGAGUAAGAAGCCCCGGCUAACUACGUGCCAGCAGCCGCGGUAAUACGUAGGGGGCAAGCGUUAUCCGGAUUUACUGGGUGUAAAGGGAGCGUAGACGGCAGUGCAAGUCUGGAGUGAAAGGCGGGGGCUCAACCCCCGGACUGCUCUGGAAACUGUACGGCUGGAGUGCAGGAGAGGUAAGUGGAAUUCCUAGUGUAGCGGUGAAAUGCGUAGAUAUUAGGAGGAACACCAGUGGCGAAGGCGGCUUACUGGACUGUAACUGACGUUGAGGCUCGAAAGCGUGGGGAGCAAACAGGAUUAGAUACCCUGGUA
rnacentral:rRNA from 1 species